AGCGAACGCUGGCGGCAGGCCUAACACAUGCAAGUCGAACGGAUCCUUCGGGAUUAGUGGCGGACGGGUGAGUAACACAUGGGAACGUGCCUUUAGGUUCGGAACAACUCAGGGAAACUUGAGCUAAUACCGGAUGUGCCCUUCGGGGGAAAGAUUUAUCGCCUUUAGAGCGGCCCGCGUCUGAUUAGCUAGUUGGAGAG
rnacentral:rRNA from 1 species